UACGUAGGUGGCAAGCGUUGUCCGGAAUUAUUGGGCGUAAAGCGCGCGCAGGUGGUUCUUUAAGUCUGAUGUGAAAGCCCACGGCUCAACCGUGGAGGGUCAUUGGAAACUGGGGAACUUGAGUGCAGAAGAGGAAAGUGGAAUUCCAAGUGUAGCGGUGAAAUGCGUAGAGAUUUGGAGGAACACCAGUGGCGAAGGCGACUUUCUGGUCUGUAACUGACACUGAGGCGCGAAAGCCAGGGGAGCAAACGGG
rnacentral:rRNA from 1 species